CCUACGGGGCGCAGCAGUGAGGAAUAUUGGUCAAUGGCCGGAAGGCUGAACCAGCCAAGUCGCGUGAGGGAAUAAGGCCCUAUGGGUCGUAAACCUCUUUUGUCAGGGAGCAAAGGCGUCCACGUGUGGACGAGAGGAGAGUACCUGAAGAAAAAGCAUCGGCUAACUCCGUGCCAGCAGCCGCGGUAAUACGUAGGGGGCAAGCGUUAUCCGGAUUCACUGGGCGUAAAGGGAGCGCAGGCGGCACGGCAAGUCUGAUGUGAAAACCCGGGGCUCAACCCCGGGACUGCAUUGGAAACUGCCGG
rnacentral:rRNA from 1 species